UACGUAGGGGGCUAGCGUUGUCCGGAAUCAUUGGGCGUAAAGAGCGCGUAGGCGGCCAGAUAAGUCCGGUGUGAAAGUCAAAGGCUCAACCUUUGAAUGUCAGUGGAUACUGCCGGGCUAGAGUCCGGAAGAGGCGAGUGGAACUCCUGGUGUAGCGGUGGAAUGCGCAGAUAUCAGGAAGAACACCAACGGCGAAGGCAGCUCGCUAGGACGGUACUGACGCUGAGACGUGAAAGCGUGGGGAGCGAACAGG
rnacentral:rRNA from 1 species